GAGGAAUAUUGGUCAAUGGGCGAGAGCCUGAACCAGCCAAGUAGCAUGCAGGAUGACGGCCCUCCGGGUUGUAAACUGCUUUUAGUUGGGAAUAAAAAAAGGGACUUAUCCCUUCUUGUAUGUACCUUCAGAAAAAGGACCGGCUAAUUCCGUGCCAGCAGCCGCGGUAAUACGGAAGGUCCAGGCGUUAUCCGGAUUUAUUGGGUUUAAAGGGAGCGUAGGCGGAUUGUUAAGUCAGCGGUUAAAGGGUGUGGCUCAACCAUGCAUUGCCGUUGAAACUGGCGAUCUUGAGUGCAGACAGGGAUGCCGGAAUUCGUGGUGUAGCGGUGAAAUGCUUAGAUAUCACGAAGAACUCCGAUCGCGAAGGCAGGUGUCCGGGCUGCAACUGACGCUGAGGCUCGAAAGUGUGGGUAUCAAACAGGAUUAGAUACCCUGGUAGUCCACACAGUAAACGAUGUAUACUCGCGGCUUGCGAUAGAUUGUAAGCCGCCAAGCGAAAGCAUUAAGUAUACCACCUGGGGAGUACGCCGGCAACGGUG
rnacentral:rRNA from 1 species